AAGGAUCAUUAUUGAAAAACUAGUAUUUAGUUCUUCAUACCCCAUUGUUGACUUACCAUGUUGCUUCCAUUGGCCAGGUGCACUUGUACAAGAGUGAACCCUCUGACAUGCACCACAACGUGCUUGCUGGGGAGUGCCAGUGGAUAGACCCCAAUUGAAAAACUUGAUUUCAAAAAUAUAUGUGUCUGAACUCGUUUCAUAAUUGAAAUAAAACUUUCAACAACGGAUCUCUAGGCUCUU
rnacentral:misc_RNA from 1 species